AGCUCUAAUAGCGUAUAUUAAUGUUGUUGCAGUUAAAAAGCUCGUAGUUGGAUUUUGGUGUUUGACAAAUGGUCUGCCUUCGGGUCUGCACUGUUUGUUGGCACUUCUUUUCUGGGGAACUCACUGCUCUUAAUUGAGGGGUGCUGUAACGCAGAUCGUUUACUUUGAAAAAAUUAGAGUGUUCAAAGCAGGCCAACGCAUUGAAUACAUUAGCAUGGAAUAAUGGAAUAGGACUUUGGUCUUAUUUUGUUGGUUUCUAAGGCCGAGGUAAUGAUUAAUAGGGAUAGUUGGGGGCGUUUAUAUUCCGUUGUCAGAGGUGAAAUUCUUGGAUUUACGGAAGAUAAACUACUGCGAAAGCAUUCGCCAAGGAUGUUU
rnacentral:rRNA from 1 species